AUGUGGAAGCAUCAUAAAAUUUUGUUCUUAGACUUUUUUUCUAGAUCAUGCCUUCAGCAAGGAUCUUUGACCUUCUACAAGCGUGGCACCCAUUCGUUAUUUUAUUUAUAUGACCUCCUUCUCAACAUUCCUCUUCACACAUACUCUGUGAACAACUCUGUUAUUCCAUAAGAAUUGCCUGAGUCUUCACAGAAAGAUCUGGAGUUAAGCAGAGAUGGCAAACUGUUCCAGGAAAGUUCUCAUCACUUUGUCUCUGGAAUAUUGAUUCCCCCUUGUUACUUGCUAAAGAGCCAGGUUUCUUGAGAGAGUCUGAGCAGGCAACUGCAGUUAGAAAUUAGUGCAGAUAUCAUUUUAAGGUAAUUUGAAUAUCCUUGUAAAGGAGAAGUUGUCCAGGUAGAUCACUGUCUUGGGAGAAGGAAAAUAAAAUGAUAGUCACGUGGGAAAGAGGCA
rnacentral:lncRNA from 1 species